GACUUAGUACUCUUGAAAGACAUGAUUUUAUCUACAUGAACAAUAGCCCACCAUGUGUUUGAUAAAAUGUCAUUUAUAGAAUUCUUAGGAAAUGGAAGGUCCAAUGUACAUCCUAUGAGUCGGAUGAUUAUAUAAUUAUUGAAAUGAUGAUGAAAUGGAUACAUGUAUAUGAUUUUCUCUAUAUAGUGUUGUGAGUCGACCAAGCCUAGUACAGG
rnacentral:lncRNA from 1 species